rnacentral:lncRNA from 1 species
CCCUAGUAGUCGGUGGCUGGUCGGUGACUGGGACCAGACCGUCGCCUCCUCCCUUUUACAGCUUUAAGUCUGUGACCCGAGGCCUCUCUGUAUAUUCCCGUGGGGUUGGGCCUAGUUGUCCUGGGAGAAACUAGAUGGAUGAGGAGUAUUUCCGAGACAGGUCCCAGGGCCAGCGCAGCCUUUUCUGUUGCAGAACCGCGACUGUUGUUUUGGGAUCCAGGCCGGAGGGUUUGUUGCUUGUGUUCAUUCCAGUUAACCAUUAGUACUCGAGAAGGUGGUACAGAACGCAUCUAUCCCCUUAGAAGAAAAGAAAUUAAAAGCCAAACUAAACUGGGAUAUAUAUUAAUAUAGGAAACUACCACUGAGACAUAGGAAAGUGUAUUAAAAUAUAACUAGUGAGGUGCUAUGUAUAAUUCAGAGGAAGGGGAAAUUAUGCAUGGGCCAGACUACUAACAAAAGGCUCCAAAGCCUGGGAUACGCUGAGGGCCUUUCCAUAACAGAAAAUGAAAAGGAACCUAAAUUUGAGACUAGAUUUGAGGAAAGGCACAGUUGCGCUGGAGUAGAAAGCGUCUGUCUACCGCAGUGGAAACGAUAUGUUAUUGUAUCCCCAGCACCAUACAAAGGACAUACAAGGGCCAAAUACUGUGGGAAUAUUUAUUAAUGAUAUUAAUGAUGAUGCUGUCCGGGCCAAAGGAAAACUUCCGCUUCACCUUCUGAAGUUUCGCUGAAAGUCACUGACAGGAGGCAGUUAAUAGGAGAAAAGACAUAGACAUUGAUUUGACCAUCGUUUUAUGUGACACGGGAGCCUUCAGAAUGAAGACCCAAAGAUAACAAGGGAAAUCGUGUAUUUGUAUGCUUAGGUUCAACAAAGCAUGGACAGCCGUAUAAAAAAAUGACUGGACAAGGCCGGGCGCGGUGGCUCACGCCUGUAAUCUCAGCACUUUGGGAGGCUGAGGCGGGCGGAUCACAAGGUCAGGAGAUCGAGACCAUCCUGGCUAACACAGUGAAACCCCGUCUCUACUAAAAAUACUAAAAAUUAGCCAGGCGUGGUGGCGGGCGCCUGUAGUCCCAGCUACUCAGGAGGCUGAGGCAGGAGAAUGGCGUGAACCCGGGAGGCGGAGCUUGCAGUGAGCCGAGAUUGCGUCACCGCACUCCAGCCUGGGCGACAGAGCGAGACUCCGUCUCAAAAAAAAUGACUGGACAAAAAACACUCUGAUGCAAACAGGCAAGAAACCCAGCAAGGCCUAUCUGGAUUCUCCUUGGCCUGUCUGCAGCAUUCAUUCCUUCUGGGUAUGGAACAGGACCCUCUGGAAUGGGGGCUGUGGCCUACAACAGUUAAACAAGUGAACUAAAGGGCUCCCAAAAUCUCUCCUGCAGCAUUUUCCUUGAGAAGGAGGAAGGUUUGCAUCUCUGUGAGAAGAAACAUCAGAAGCAGUUGAAAGACCAGGAUGUGGGUCCUCUGGGGCUGAGGAGGCAUUCUGAAUCAACUGUGUGUUCUACACCUGUGUUUUAACUGUGACCUGUCACAUGAGGACAAGUGUGGAAUUUCCCACUUUUGUGCCAUAAAUCUCUCUCUGGGAACAGUGUGGAAGAUGGAUUGAAAUGGUGUAAAAUUGAAGAUGUGGACUCCGGUUGGGAGACUACACCCUAGAUAAGAUGAAGAGAACUUGAAGCAAGACAAUAGCAAUGGGAAUAUAAAGGAGAGGAGACAUUUGAGUGAAAUUAAGGAAGCACAAUCUGCAGACUGUUUUCUUUUUUUUAAGAGUCAGGGUCUCCCUAUUUUGCCCAGGCUGGUCUCAAAGUCCUAGGCUCAAGCGACCCACCCACCUCAGCCUUCCAAAAUGCUGGAAUUACAGGGGUGAACUGCCUCACCAUGCCUCAGUCUGCAGAAUUUGAUGACUGAAUGUAUUUGGAGAGAGUCUGUGGCUUGGAUGACUGGGAGCUGUGAUUGGUUGAUUGAUUUUGAGGCGGAGUUUCACUCUUGUUGCCCAGGCUGAAGUGCAGUGGCACAACCUCUGCUCACUGCAACCGCUGCCUUCCAGUUUCAAGCGAUUCUCCUGCCUCAGCCUCCCAAGUAGCUGGGAUUACAGGCGCCUGCCACAACGUCUGGAGACGGAGUUUCUCCAUUUUGGCCAGUUUGGUGUCGA